rnacentral:rRNA from 1 species
UGGGGGAUAUUGCACAAUGGGCGAAAGCCUGAUGCAGCGACGCCGCGUGGGGGAUGAAGGCUUUCGGGUUGUAAACCUCUUUCGCUAUCGAACAAGGCCCGCUUAGGGUGGGUUGAGGGUAGGUGGAGAAGAAGCGCCGGCUAACUACGUGCCAGCAGCCGCGGUAAUACGUAGGGCGCGAGCUUUGUCCGGAAUUAUUGGGCGUAAAGGGCUUGUAGGCGGCUUGUUGCGCCUGCUGUGAAAACGCGGGGCUUAACUUCGCGCGUGCAGUGGGUACGGGCAGGUUUGAGUGUGGUAGGGGUGACUGGAAUUCCAGGUGUAGCGGUGGAAUGCGCAGAUAUCUGGAGGAACACCGAUGGCGAAGGCAGGUCACUGGGCCAUUACUGACGCUGAGGAGCGAAAGCAUGGGUAGCGAACAGG